UCUCCUUCCUUCCCCGUGCUUUUUAUAGCUUGUCAUCUAGCAAACUGCCCUUCUCUUUCUCUCUCUUUUCCUCCUUUCCUUCUUUCCUAUUUAUUAAAUUUUUAAACUUUUAAUUGUGGUAAAAAAUGCAACAUAAAAUUGGUCAUCUUUACCAUUAUCAAGUGUUUAGUAAAGUGUAUUCACAUCGUUGUGCACAGAUAUCCAGAGCUUUUUCAUCUUGCGAACCUGAAAUCCUAUACCUAUUAAAUGAUAACUCCCCUCCCCAGUCCCCAGCCCCUUGUGAGCUCCGUUCCACUUUCCGUCCCUGUGCACUGGGCUACUCUAGACACCUCUUGGAGGUAGAAGCAUGCAGGAUUUGUCUUUUUGUGACUGGCUUGUUUCGCUCAGCAAAAUAUCCUCAGACCAACUGCAUGUCCUAAUAAAGACUCUGUUUCUCUCCCCAAGCAGGGUGAUUAUUUCUUAUCAUUAUUUUAAUUCUUUUGUUUUUUGAGACAGAGUCUCACUCUGUUGCCCAGGCUGGAGUGCAGUGGCACAAUCUUGGCUCACUGCAACCUCUGCCUCCUGAGUUCAAGGGAUUUCUGGCUAAUUUUUGUAUUUUUAGUAGAGAUGGGGUUUCACCGUGUUGGCUAGGCUGGUCUCGAACUCCUGACCUCAAGUAAUCUGCCUGCCUUGGCCUCCCAAAAUGCUGGGAUUACAGGCAUGAGCCACUGCGCCCGGUCUACUUUAUUUUUUUUUACUGAACAUUCAUCUUUUUUUUUGAGAUGGAGUCUCACUCUGUCCCCCGGGCUAGAGUGCAGUGGCGCGAUUUUGGCUCAUUGCAAACUCCACCUCUGGGUUCAAGUGAUUCACCUGCCUCAGCCUCCCGAGUAGGUGGGAUUACAGGUGCCCGCCACCGUGCCCAGCUAAUUUUUGUAUUCUUUUAGUAGAGAUGGGGUUUCACCAUGGUGGCCAGUCUGGUCUUGAAUUCCUGACCUCGUGAUCCACCUGCCUUGGCCUCCCAAAGUGCUGGGAUUAUAGGCGUGAGCCACCGCGCCCUCCUGAACACUCAUCUUAAGUGGUCAGCCUUGUGCAUUUGUUUUUUGAUGGGUCCUAUUCUUUAUUUUACUUAUUUUUUCUAGGUUUACUGAGGCAUAAUCGACAAAUAAAAGUAGUAUAUGUUUAAGUAUACAACGUGAUGUUUUGACAUAUGCAUACCUUGUGAAAUGAUGACCACAACAAGCUAACUAGCAUAUCCAUGGUGUGUAUCCUGACAUCUGUCAAUACCCUGCCCUGGCAGCAGGGCGUCUGCCUCCAUCAUGGUCUCCCUGUGAUUCUGAUUCCUAUCUUUGGAGAAGCUCUGGAUUCCAGGCACAGUGGGAAUGCUGAAAGGUCCUUGUGGACAAUAGCUAUUCUUCUUGGCUCUGUCGCUUCCCUUCACUGGGUGCAGGUGACUGUGGGGGUGUCCCCAAAUGCUGCCCAGCGCUGACAUGCUCCGCCUCUGGGAUUUCAAUCCAGGUGGGGCCCUGAGUGACCUGGCUCUGGGGCUCAGGGGUAUGGAGGAGGGGGGAUAUAGGUAAGGAGUUUAAAUUUCCAAAUCUGUGAAAUGGGAAUAAAUACUGACUGAUCAUGCCAGCUGCUGUGGGAUUAGGGGGUGGACUCCCUGCGAGGCUCUGGGCAUCUGGGGGUUCCACCUUUCCCACAUGGCAGGCUUUCUAGGGUGCUGCACACUGUUCAGUUUGUGAAAUUUCCUGGAGCCCUGUGCUUGUGAUAGUGAACUUUUCUAUAUGUGUACUAAAAUAAAAGCUUGUGAAAGUGCAGUGACCUUUUCCUCCUUCCGGAGAUACACGGGGGGCGCCCCAGGGUCUCAGGCAGCUUUCCCCAUGUCUAAGCACAGGCCGGGGUAG
rnacentral:lncRNA from 1 species